ensembl:snRNA U4 U4 spliceosomal RNA
AGCUUUGCACAGUGGCAGUAUCGUAGCCAAUGAGGUUUAUUCGAGGUGCAAUUAUUGCUAAUUUAAAUCUUUUCCCAAAAGAUACCACAGUCACAGAAAGAUUUAAGCAAAACUAAAUAAAAUAUUAGU